GAAAUAAAAAUUUAAAGCUUCUAACUUUAUAAAAAGAUAUAAAUUAUCUAUAUUUCU
rnacentral:tRNA from 1 species